rnacentral:rRNA from 1 species
GACAGAGGGUGCAAACGUUGUUCGGAAUUAUUGGGCGUAAAGCGCGUGCAGGUGGCUUUGCAAGCCAGAUGUGAAAGCCCAGGGCUUAACCCUGGAAGUGCAUUUGAAACUGCUCAGCUUGAGUAUGGAAGAGGGUCGUGGAAUUCCAGGUGUAGUGGUGAAAUACGUAGAUAUCUGGAGGAACACCGGUGGCGAAGGCGGCGACCUGGUCCAAUACUGACACUCAUACGCGAAAGCGUGGGGAUCAAACAGG